AAAAAGUAGAAUUUUUCAUGUGUGCUGUAUGAGACUGUAAGAUGGGGUGUGUGUGUGUGUAUGUUUUAUAUUUUCCUUGGUUCUGCAUAAAUGUUUAAACUGUAUAUUUUCCAGAGAGCUUAGCCUCUCUGAGUCAGCAGCAUCCUGCCUGUGACUAAGUAAGUGGCCCUUGGGUUGAUGAGGAUGGUAUGUGUGCUCAUUGUCCUAGAACAGAACUCUAGAAUUGUUAAAGUGAAAAGCCAUAGAAGAAAAAUUCUAUCCCCUUAGGUAUAAGUAGU